rnacentral:rRNA from 1 species
UACGUAGGGGGCUAGCGUUGUCCGGAUUUAUUGGGCGUAAAGAGCGUGUAGGCGGCCAUGUAGGUCCGGUGUGAAAACUCGAGGCUUAACCUCGAGAUGUCAUCGGAAACCAUUUGGCUAGAGUCCGGAAGAGGAGAGUGGAAUUCCUGGUGUAGCGGUGAAAUGCGCAGAUAUCAGGAGGAACACCGGUGGCGAAGGCGGUUCUCUGGGCCUUACCUGACGCUGAGGAGCGAAAGCGUGGGGAGCAAACAGG